rnacentral:rRNA from 1 species
GUAGGGAAUAUUGGUCAAUGGGGGCAACCCUGAACCAGCCAUGCCGCGUGCAGGAAGACUGCCCUAUGGGUUGUAAACUGCUUUUGUACGGGAAGAACUCCUCGCUUGCGAGCGGGGUUGACGGUACCGUGAGAAUAAGGAUCGGCUAACUUCGUGCCAGCAGCCGCGGUAAUACGAAGGAUCCAAGCGUUGUCCGGAUUUACUGGGUUUAAAGGGAGCGUAGGCGGUUGUAUAAGUCAGUGGUGAAAGCCUUCAGCUUAACUGAAGAAUUGCCAUUGAAACUGUAUGACUCGAGUAUGGUUGAGGUCACUGGAAUGUAACAUGUAGCGGUGAAAUGCUUAGAUAUGUUACAGAACACCAAUUGCGAAGGCAGGUGACUAAGCCAUAACUGACGCUGAGGCUCGAAAGCGUGGGGAGCAAACAGGAUUAGAUACCCCAGUAGUCC